rnacentral:misc_RNA from 1 species
GCUCGGCGAUCUCCAAUGCACCAUUCACCUGGCCUCCCUGAUCAUGCCGCAGUUGCGCAAGGAGGCGCUCCGCGGCGCAACGCCGAAUGACGGGAUAGCGAAAUCCUCAGGAAAACCAAG